UGCGCUUGUUUGUUUGUUUGAUUGUU
rnacentral:misc_RNA from 1 species